AUCCCAACUUCCGUAAUAGAACAAUUAAUUCCAUUUUGGUCAUUGGUAUCUUUAAAAAGGAUGAAACUAAGGAUAUUACGUAACUAUCACGCACCAAGGGUGCCAGCUUUCGUAAAAUUCUUUUAUGAGGAAUAGUACCUUGUGAGGGUGCUAGAUUCAAGAUGAAAAUAGUUAUAAUCUUCCCCACUCCACCUAAUUUGGCAAAGAACUCACGGCGAUCUCUGGCAAAACCACACGA
rnacentral:lncRNA from 1 species